rnacentral:antisense_RNA from 1 species
UAGGGUCUGAUUGCUGCCUGAGACACCAUAUCGGUACUCCUCAGAGUUGAGAAUAGACACCUUGAUGGCUCCUCUGGCAGUUCUUGAUGACCAUGGAUGAGCUAAUGGCUGUGGUCUCAAUGGUGGCUUCUUGAGCUAAUUUCAAAUGGUCCAGUGCCUGAGAUUUCACACUGAAGUAGAGCAUUUGUUCCUCUCACUAUGUCUGCAGGCUCAAGAGUUUUGAUGAAAGAAGGAGGUUCUACAAAAGCAUGAAAGCAUUGUGUGGACCUUCUUAUUGAUAGCGGACUGCACAGGCUCUAAUUCUUUAAUGAAAUGUGGCUUAUCAAUGAUGAUCAACUCUGCUUGGCAGAUGUCUGCUCCAAACUUGUUAGAAGCCUUACAAGAAUAAACUCCUCUAUCUUGAAUGAUGGAGUCUCGCUAUGUUGCCCAGGCUGGAGAGCAGUGGUGCGAUCCUGGCUUACUGCAACCUCUGCCUCCUGGCUUCAAGCAAUUCCCCUGCCUCAGCCUCCCAAGUAGCUGGGACUACAGGCUCUGCAGUACCUACCAGCCAUGUUACCGUCUUAGUUGUUGGUCUCUCCAGUUGGUAAUACAAGCAUUUCCCACACAUGUACAGAAAGCAAAAAGGACAACAAU